ACACGACUACAUUAGAUACCCGUGUAGUCCUAGCCGUAAACGAUACUCGCUAGGUGUCGGCCACGGUGCGACCGUUGUCGGUGCCGUAGGGAAGCCGUGGAGCGAGCCACCUGGGAAGUACGGCCGCAAGGCUGAAACUUAAAGGAAUUGGCGGGGGAGCACAACAACGGGUGGAGCUUGCGGUUUAAUUGGAUUCAACGCCGGAAAUCUUACCGGGACCGGCAGCAACAUGAAGGCCAAGCUGAAGACUUUGCCGGAUUAGCUG
rnacentral:rRNA from 1 species